rnacentral:rRNA from 1 species
AAUCAACGCUGGCGGCGUGCCUCAGACAUGCAAGUCGAACGAUUAAAGCUCUCUUCGGAGAGUGUAUAGAGUGGCGCACGGGUGAGUAACACGUAAGUAAUCUACCUUCGAGUGGGGAAUAACGUCCGGAAACGGACGCUAAUACCGCAUAAUGCAGCGGCAUCGCAAGAUGACAGUUGUUAAAGAUUUGUCGCUUGAAGAGGAGCUUGCGGCAGAUUAGCUAGUUGGUAAGGUAAUGGCUUACCAAGGCUACGAUCUGUAACCGGUCUACGAGGACGGUCGGUCACACAGACACUGAAUAACGGGUCAGACGACUACGGGAGGCAGCAGUCGGGAAUUUUGGGCAAUGGGCGAAAGCCUGACCCAGCAACGCCGCGUGAAGGAUGAAGUAUUUCGGUAUGUAAACUGCGAAAGAAUAGGAAGAAUAAAUGGCGGUACUAUUUAUAAGGUCCGGCUAACUACGUGCCAGCCGCCGCCGUAAUAC